GUGCUCACUUGGGCGGCACAUAUAGUAGAAUUGGAACGAUACAGAGAUUAGCAUGGUCCCUGCACCAGGAUGAGACGUAGAUCUCCACGUGAUU
rnacentral:snRNA from 1 species